GACGAACGCUGGCGGCGUGCUUAACACAUGCAAGUCGAACGGUAAGGCCCUUCGGGGUACACGAGUGGCGAACGGGUGAGUAACACGUGGGUGAUCUGCCCUGCACUUCGGGAUAAGCCUGGGAAACUGGGUCUAAUACCGGAUAGGACUCCUGGCUUCAUGGUUGGGGGGGGAAAGCUUUUGGGGUGUGGGAUGGGGCCGCGGCCUAUCAGCUUGUUGGUGGGGUAAUGGCCUACCAAGGCGACGACGGGUAGCCGGCCUGAGAGGGUGACCGGUCACACUGGGACUGAGAUACGGCCCAGACUCCUACGGGAGGCAGCAGUGGGGAAUAUUGCACAAUGGGCGCAAGCCUGAUGCAGCGACGCCGCGUGAGGGAUGACGGCCUUCGGGUUGUAAACCUCUUUCAGCUAUGACGAAGCGCAAGUGACGGUAGUAGCAGAAGAAGGACCGGCCAACUACGUGCCAGCAGCCGCCGUAA
rnacentral:rRNA from 1 species